CUAACAUGCAGUCGACGGAAGCAGGAACAGCAUGCUUCUUCGGUGACGAGAGGGAAACAGCUGAGUAAUGUCUGGUAAACUGCCUGAAGGCAGGGGAUAACUACGGGAAACGGCAACUAAUACCGCACUAAUGUCGCAAGACCAAAUAGGGGGACCUUCCGGCCUCUUGACAUGCGAUGUGCCCACAUGGGAUUAGCGUGUUGGUGGGGUAACGGCUCAUCGAGGCGACAAUCCCUACCUGGUCUAAGAUGAUGACCCGACCCGCUGGGACUGACACACGGUCCGGACUCCAACCGGAGGCAACACUGCGGAAUAUUGCACAAUGGGGGCAUCUCUGAUGCAGCCCUACCGUGUGAAUGAACAACGCCUUCUGGUUGAAAAGUACUUUCAGCGCGGAGGAAUGUAGUAAAGUUAAUACCUUUGCUCAUUGACGUUACCCGCAAACUAAACACCGCCUAACUCCAUGCCAACAGCUACGUACAUACCGACGGUGCAAGCAUUACUCAGAAUUACUGCGCGUAAAGCAAUCGCAGGCCGUUUGUUAAGUCAGAUCUGACUUUCCGGGCUAACCUGAGAACUGCAUCUGAUACUGGAAGCUUGAGUCUCCUAGAAGGCUGUAGAAUUCCAGAUAAACGGUAAAUCCCGAGAGAUCUGGAAGAUACCGAUAGCGAAGCACCCCCUGGACGAAGCUGACCUUAGGUGUAAAGAUGCUGAGCAACAGGAUUGAUACCUGGUAGUCUCG
rnacentral:rRNA from 1 species